AAAGGUGGUUAUGGCAUAAGUAUGAACACCUCUUCCCAUUCCGAACAGAGAAGUUAAGCCUUAUUGCGCCGAUGGUACUGCAUAUUCUGUGGGAGAGUAGGUACUGCCACGU
rfam:Prevotella buccae ATCC 33574 genomic scaffold SCAFFOLD1, whole genome shotgun sequence.